rnacentral:rRNA from 1 species
GACGAACGCUGGCGGCGUGCUUAACACAUGCAAGUCGAACGCUGAAGCUCAGCUUUUGUUGGGUGGAUGAGUGGCGAACGGGUGAGUAACACGUGAGUAACCUGCCCCCUUCUUUGGGAUAACGCCCGGAAACGGGUGCUAAUACUGGAUAUUCACUGGUCUUCGCAUGGGGGUUGGUGGAAAGGGUUUUUCUGGUGGGGGAUGGGCUCACGGCCUAUCAGCUUGUUGGUGGGGUGAUGGCCUACCAAGGCUUUGACGGGUAGCCGGCCUGAGAGGGUGACCGGUCACAUUGGGACUGAGAUACGGCCCAGACUCCUACGGGAGGCAGCAGUGGGGAAUAUUGCACAAUGGGCGCAAGCCUGAUGCAGCGACGCCGCGGGAGGGAUGGAGGCCUUCGGGUUGUGAACCUCUUUCGCUCAUGGUCAAGCCGCAACAAUGGUUGUGGUGAGGGUAGUGGGUAAAGAAGCGCCGGCUAACUACGUG